rnacentral:rRNA from 1 species
GGGGGCCCGCAAGCGGUGGAGCAUGUGGUUCAAUUCGACGCAACGUGAAGAACCUUACCUGGGCUCGAAAUGCAGGAGACCGGGGUAGAAAUAUCCUUUCCCCGCAAGGGGCUGCUGUAUAGGUGCUGCAUGGCUGUCGUCAGCUCGUGUCGUGAGAUGUUGGGUUAAGUCCCGCAACGAGCGCAACCCUCAUCCCUAGUUGCCACCGGGUAAUGCCGAGCACUCUAGUGAAACCGCCUCGGAUAACGGGGAGGAAGGUGGGGAUGACGUCAAGUCCUCAUGGCCUUUAUGUCCAGGGCUACACACGUGCUACAAUGGUCGGUACAAACCGUCGCAAAGCCGCAAGGUGGAGCUAAUCGGAAAAAGCCGGCCUCAGUUCGGAUUGGAGUCUGCAACUCGACUCCAUGAAGCUGGAAUCGCUAGUAAUCGCGGAUCAGAACGCCGCGGUGAAUACGUUCCCGGGCCUUGUACACACC